rnacentral:rRNA from 1 species
AGUAACCUGCCUUGGAGUGGGGAAUAACACAGUGAAAAUUAGUGCUAAUACCGCAUAAUGCAUUUGGAUCGCAUGGUUCUGAAUGCCAAAGAUUUAUCGCUCUGAGAUGGACUCGCGUCUGAUUAGCUAGUUGGCGGGGCAACGGCCCACCAAGGCGACGAUCAGUAGCCGGACUGAGAGGUUGAACGGCCACAUUGGGACUGAGACACGGCCCAG